GGGGUUGUGGCUCAGCGGUAGAGCACUCGCCUAGCAUGUGUGAGGCCCUGGGUUCGAUCCUCAGCACCA
rnacentral:tRNA from 1 species